ACCAAACCGAUACCCAAAUUUUUGUUCUCCUUCCCCAAACCCUAAACCUCUUCUUACACACCGCCUCUUUGUUCUCUAUUUCUCUCCCUCAUCUCUCUUCUCUACCCUUUCAACCUCUGAUUUGUUUUUCAAUCAAACCCGUUAAAACCCUAAACAUUAGAGUACUAAUUAGCCCAAUUACGUUCUUUUCUUUUCUAUUUUUUUUUUUUUGUUGAAUCUCUGCUAUGAUCUAAAUUAAUUCUUUGCUUCUUGCAUAUUUCAUUGACAGGUCAAUCACGUAGCCACUGAAUCAUCAUCACCAACAUUGAUCAUUCGUGCUAAUUUUUCUAUUAUAUACUAUCCUUUGUGAUGAAGCAGAGGGUAAAAGUGAAUGUUGCCCCAAAAUCUCCCGGUUCAAUUUCUCAAGAACUCCUUGGUAAGAUCUCCUUGAAUCCUCAAUCUUCCUUAUCUUCUUCCUUUUUUGUUGCUGUUGUCCUAAUCUAUUUGCUUAUAAUUAAUUUGUGGUUUUUGUUUCCAUAGUUUUUGAACAUUCUUGAAUUAGGACGAAAUCAAGAUGACUUUGAGGCUGAAGGAUUGAUUUGGGGUUUUUAUUAGUUUUGGGAUUUUGGGGUUCCUAAUUAGGGUUUGCUGCAAUUAUAGAUUUCAAUUGCUAAUAUGUUUCCUCUUUGUUCUUUUUUGUUUUUCCCAGGGAAACACCAUAGAAGAUCAAAUUCUACCUAUGCUUUGUCUCUUUGUGUUUUGAGGUACAGAGCUACAGCCAUGCUUAGCAUGCCAUCAACCUCAUUGAAAUUUAUGUUGCAUAAAGGAUAUAAGAAAGUUGUGUUGUUUUCACCUUGCAAUGGCAAAGACAAGAUUUAGCAAAAUAAGUACAGCCUCCAAAGUUUUAUUCAGCAUAAAUAUAAUCAGGAUGAGAUUUUGAUUGGUUUCUCAUGUCAGGUGGUUUCUUUUACCCAAAUUUGUGUUGUGGACUUUUAUUAUUGCCCAUAAUCCAUCCUAUGAUCCUUGCUUUACACUUGAGGUUAGAAGAAAAGGAGAGAGCCCCCCUUUUUAAAAUUUUUUAUUUAUUCCGUAGCUAUUUUCAACCAAACAAGACUUGGUUUUUGGGCAUUAAUUGUAAGGCCAUGAAAGUUCUUAAAUUGAAGGAUUUACAUUGGCAACUGCUUAUUCUUAACUUAAAUUUGUUAAGAUUCUCAUCCCUUUUUUA